GACUCCCCCCUUUGUGUCUGGUCUGCUCGGAGCCACUGGAAGUGCCUCCCGGAGGGACGCAGGGUGUCUCGCCGCCUCCCUGCCCACCCCCUUCCCCGGCUACCUUCAUCCGCCCUCCCGCCGCCCCCCGCCCUCGGUCCGCGACGCCCGAGUUCCGUCAGGAGCCCAGAGCUGCGGGAGAACGAGGCGGCGGCGGCGGCGGCGGCGGCGGCGGCGGCGGCAGCAGCAGCGGCUUCCUCGGGGGGUUGUGAUUCGCUCACAGGAGCCAUUGACGGGAGAAGAGGAGGCUUUCUUGGUGGAAUUUACCUCAGGCAAGAUCGAGCCGCAGGAAUAAAAAGCGAGGAAGGGAAGGGAGCGCCGCCGGGAGGACUAGAAGGGGCAGCCUCUCACACCCACUCCGCCUGCCGUCUCGGGGAGCCCGGACCGGGGCCGCGACCGCGACCCCUCCCCUCCCCCGCUCCUACCUCUCCUCAGCCUUCGCCAGGGCCUCCCCAACCCUCUCACGGUUGUUCUGCGAAGGCGUGGGGACUGUGAGCUUGUCCAUGGAGGCAGGCACCUUUUUUGAUCCAGUCAAGGAAGAGGAUUUGUUGUUUUCGAAAUCAGAGUGAAGGAAGCACCGAAGCGAAACUUAAGGAAUCCUGCCUUCCCGGAGCCGCGGGCGAUGCGACUAGGGCUGCCGGGCGCCGCCGCCGCCCGUCCGGCUUCGUCCUUCCCGGCAGUCGGGAACUAGUUCUGACCCUCGCCCCCCGACCCCGGAUCGAAUCCCCGCCCUCCGCACCCUGGAUAUGUUUUCUCCCAGACCUGGAUAUUUUUUUGAUAUCGUGAAACUACGAGGGAAAUAAUUUGGGGGAUUUCUUCUUGGCUCCCUGCUUUCCCCACAGACAUGCCUUCCGUUUGGAGGGCCGCGGCACCCCGUCCGAGGCGAAGGAACCCCCCCAGCCGCGAGGGAGAGAAAUGAAGGGAAUUUCUGCAGCGGCAUGAAAGCUCUGCAGCUAGGUCCUCUCAUCAGCCAUUUGUCCUUUCAAACUGUAUUGUGAUACGGGCAGGAUCAGUCCACGGGAGAGAAGACGAGCCUCCCGGCUGUUUCUCCGCCGGUCUACUUCCCAUAUUUCUUUUCUUUGCCCUCCUGAUUCUUGGCUGGCCCAGGGAUGACUUCCUCGCUGCAGCGGCCCUGGCGGGUGCCCUGGCUACCAUGGACCAUCCUGCUGGUCAGCACUGCGGCUGUGAGCCGAGAUCAUGCCAUUGCACUCCAGCCUGGGCAGCAAGAGUGAAACGCUGUCUC
rnacentral:lncRNA from 1 species